CACGUAGGGUGCGAGCGUUGUCCGGAAUUAUUGGGCGUAAAGAGCUCGUAGGCGGUGUGUCGCGUCGGCCGUGAAAACCUGCAGCUUAACUGUGGGCUUGCGGUCGAUACGGGCAUCACUGGAGUUCGGCAGGGGAGACUGGAAUUCCUGGUGUAGCGGUGAAAUGCGCAGAUAUCAGGAGGAACACCCGUAGCGAAGGCGGCACUCUGGGCCGAUACUGACACUGAGGAGCGAAAGCGUGGGGAGCGAACAGG
rnacentral:rRNA from 1 species